CAGAGUUGCGAAACUCCCACAAACCAUCGCGAAUCUUACCCGUACGGUUGCCUCGGCGCUGGCGGUCCGGAAGGCCCUCGGGCCCCCCGGAUCCUCGGGUCUCCCGCUCGCGGGAGGCUGCCCGCCGGAGUGCCGAAACCAAACUCUUGAUAUUUUAUGUCUCUCUGAGUAAACUUUUAAAUAAGUCA
rnacentral:misc_RNA from 1 species